rnacentral:snoRNA from 1 species
AAAACAUGCAUCGGGCAUUUUCUAAUUAAUUCCUUAAAACACACGCAUGCUUCGUAUAAUGUAUCAUCUUCAAAUUGCCUAAACGAGAUAAUGUCAUUCCUCAACUU